rnacentral:rRNA from 1 species
UCCGGAGGGUGCGAGCGUUAUUCGGAGUUACUGGGCGUAAAGGGCGCGUAGGUGGUUGACUAAGUUAUCUGUGAAAUUCCUGGGCUUAACCUGGGACGGUCAGAUAAUACUGGUUGACUCGAGUAUGGGAGAGGGUAGUGGAAUUUCCGGUGUAGCGGUGAAAUGCGUAGAGAUCGGAAGGAACACCAGUGGGGAAGGCGGCUGCCUGGCCUAAUGCUGACACUGAGGCACGAAAGCGUGGGGAGCAAACAGG